AAUUUACUGGACUGUGCGAUGUAAGUACUUAAACUGAAUUUUGGCCUACGUUAAAUUUAAUGGGAACUGGCUCUGUAUCGGUAGCUCAGAUCAGUCACGAUAGCAAACUAUUGUUAUACGGACCCUGUAUGCCUUUAUAUUCUGGAACCCCCUUGUGAAAACAAGGACCAAAAUUCCGUACUACAUACGGCAGUCCGGUUUUAGU
rnacentral:other from 1 species